rnacentral:lncRNA from 1 species
AGCUUUUAAAUGGUGGUGGUUGUUUGCAAGAGGCUGGGGGUAGGGAAUGACCAUUGUGAUCCACAAAUACGUUUAUUGGGGCAAACCAGGUUGGCCAACACUCAGAAUCCCCAGACUGUGUUGUCAGUGAUAAAGAACUGUGGGGAUUGUAGUCUAAAACAUCUGGAGUGCCAAAGGGUCGCCCUCCCUGCCAUAGGCCAUUGCUCAACAGGCGGGAAACUUGCAAUGCGAACAUCAUGUUGUCAUUCAGGAACACCUUGGGCAAUGCCAAGCCUCGGCAAGACACCUGGUGCCAUUCGGGAGAACUGGUGCUGCCUGCCACCUCUGCCAAACAGAGUAUACCCAGAGAAGGCCUCUUUCACCAGGAGUCCCUCAGAUAUGGAACCAGCCCUGGAUUUUCUGGCUCAAGUAGCUCUAAUACAAAUGCGGAUACUAGAAGGUGCUGUAUCUCCCAGAGGAUGUUUCCACAGAAAUGCCACGCGCAGCCUUCUGUUUGCAGAGCAGCCAGCCAGUUCCCCAAAGGAAGUGUACAAGCCAGUCAUGAAGCUGUUUGAACAAUGCCACCUAUAAUGUUUCUUAAUGCUGCUCACUGUCAACGUCCUUCUCCAGAUUCAGGUAA